GAUGAACGCUAGCGGCAGGCUUAAUACAUGCAAGUCGAGGGGCAGCAGGGUGUAGCAAUACAUCGCUGGCGACCGGCAAACGGGUGCGGAACACGUACGCAAUCUUCCCAAAACUGAUGAAUAGCCCUCCGAAAGGAGGAUUAAUACAUCGUAACAUAAUGAAGUGGCAUCACUUUAUUAUUAUAGCUCCGGCGGUUUUGGAUGAGCGUGCGUCUGAUUAGGUAGUUGGCGGGGUAACGGCCCACCAAGCCUACGAUCAGUAACUGGUGUGAGAGCACGACCAGUCACACGGGCACUGAGACACGGGCCCGACUCCUACGGGAGGCAGCAGUAAGGAAUAUUGGUCAAUGGGCGCAAGUCUGAACCAGCCAUGCCGCGUGCAGGAAGAAGGCCUUCGGGUUGUAAACUGCUUUUGUACGGAACGAAACGGUCCUGGUUAAUACCUGGGGCUAAUGACGGUACCGUAAGAAUAAGCACCGGCUAACUACGUGCCAGCAGCCGCAGUAA
rnacentral:rRNA from 1 species